AUGGAAAAGGCAUCUGUGUGUGACCAAAGCUUAACUGAAAACAGGCUUUCUCUUCUCUCAGUCUGGGAAAGCAAGGAGCUGCAGCCAGGAAGAGAACAAGCAGAGAUGCUCAUCUGGGGAUGGAAUGACAUGAGCUGGGCUCCAAGGCUGCAGAGGAAGAGGAUAAUGGGGAGGCUGGCCACGUGGCCUGGGGAACAUCAGCCUCCCUAUGCCUCUGCUUCUUACCGCUUCCAUAGGCCACUGCUCCCUGCCCAGCAGCAUUUUCUGUUCUGUUACCCUAAACUACCAUGUCACUGCAUUGGAACAGGCCCCGCUGCAGCCCAGAAGUACACAAUCAGUGGCUGA
rnacentral:lncRNA from 12 species